rnacentral:lncRNA from 1 species
ACGAGAAAGAACACGGCAUUGCUGGGAAACUCUCAGAUCGGAUGUCAUCAGGGUGGACAUCAGCACAGUGCCUGUGAGUGCAGUCACCCAGGGAGAAGGCACUGAGGGAAAAGAUGUCAAGAGCAGCACCUAAGAGCUCUUGGAGGAGAGAUGGGGGCUGUAAGGCCAGGAGAACAGGAGGGGCCCAUGCUCAGGGAAGCUGUGGGUAGCAACUCAGCAAGGAGAGAAAGGAACAUCUGGACUCUUAGACAUUUUAGUUUCAGGGCUGGAUUGAUAGCUCAGCAGUUAAGAGGUCCUGAGUUCAAUUCCCAGCAACCACGUGGUGACUCACAACCAUCUGUAACGCAGAAUCCGAUGCUUUCUUCUGGCAUUCAGGUGUUCAUGCAAGUAGAGCACUCAUAUACAUAAGAUGAAUACAUCUUUAAAGAAUGAAAAAGAAAGCUCGGUUUCAGUGGUUGGAUAAGUGGACGGAAGUUAGAGGCUGGGGUGGGUGGAACCUUCAGGGAGAACACCUGGAGGAAGUGGGAAGCAAGACAAAUCUCCAACAGCACAGUGUGGAAAUGAAGGCCUUCUGAGGGCUGGAAUCGUUAAUCACUAAAGUGUAUCCUAACGCUGCCUGUGACUGCAGAGCAUGCCAGAGCACACACACU